GACGAACGCUGGCGGCGUGCUUAACACAUGCAAGUCGAACGGAAAGGCCCUGCUUUUGUGGGGUGCUCGAGUGGCGAACGGGUGAGUAACACGUGAGUAACCUGCCCUUGACUUUGGGAUAACUUCAGGAAACUGGGGCUCAUACAGGAUAGGAGCUCCUGCUGCAUGGUGGGGGUUGGAAAGUUUCGGCGGUUGGGGAUGGACUCGCGGCUUAUCCGCUUGUUGGGGGGGUAGUGGCUUACCAAGCCUGUGACGGGUAGCCGGCCUGAGAGCGUGACCGGCCACAUUGGGACUGAGAGACGGCCCAGACUCCUACGGGAGGCAGCAGUGGGGAAUAUUACACAAUGGGCGGAAGCCUGAUGCAGCAACGCCGCGUGCGUGAUGACGGCCUUCGAGUUGUAAACCGCUUUCGCCUGAGACGAAGCGUGAGUGACGGUAAUGGGUAAAGAAGCACCGGCUAACUACGUG
rnacentral:rRNA from 1 species